GCUUAAGGAUUUAUAGCCUUAGUUGAAAGAGACCGAGGCAGACUUUGAGAUUCCGGUCACAGGUUUCCAGGCUACAGAUACCCUGCAACAUCCUACAGAAAAAAGAAAACUUUUGGACCCUUAAAUUUAAGGUCAUGAAGAUGCAUCUAUCUGCUGUAAUUCCUUUGCUGGUCUUGUGUGGCUUAUUUUCCACUGAUGCUGUACCAGAUGCUACCAAGCUGUAUAAGAGCUUCGUCAAUAAGCAUGUGAAUGCUGGCAUGAAUGCGAACAUGUGUAACGAUGUGAUGGAAAAAAGAAGCAAAUAUUUCGACAUUUAUCCCAAAACUGUAAACACUUUCAUAACAAAUCCUGGUAACCGUAUUAUACAUUUUUGUAAUAAUAGGCCCAAUGGACUCACUAGGAGUAGCUCUAAUGAUUACAAUACUGUCACAUGUAGAUGGAACGAUUCCACAAGAAACUACAUUGGUUAUGCAAAUAUAAACGUGUAUAUUGAAUUACAUUGUGUACAAGGCAUACCAGUACAUUUUUAACCAUUUUAAGGCUAAAACGUGCCUCAAGUACCUUCACAUAAUUUUGUUAUUUGAUUGUUCAUGUUCUUUCAUUUUUUACACUGGGGUGCUCCAGUAUUACAAAUUUCUUCGCAAUCACUAUAAUCAAAUGUAUGCAAAACUGGCAAUGAAUGUCUUUUUUUUCUUUUUAAAGCACACAUUUUACAUUAAGUUGGAUUUUGUGUAAGUGUGUGUAUUUUGUGCUUCAGUGAUUUAUGUUAGCAACUUUAGGGUUAGAGUAUGACAGUAUGUUAAAGCACAUUGUCAACACCUGUUGAGCUUUAUUUCAGGGUAUUAUGAAAAUCAAAAAGUUAUGGAACAUUGUCAGUCUGUGCUAAGACCCUCAAUAAACUUUCUCUACCACU